GAUGAACGCUGGCGGCGUGCCUAAUACAUGCAAGUCGAGCGAAUGGAUUAAGAGCUUGCUCUUAUGAAGUUAGCGGCGGACGGGUGAGUAACACGUGGGUAACCUGCCCAUAAGACUGGGAUAACUCCGGGAAACCGGGGCUAAUACCGGAUAACAUUUUGAACCGCAUGGCUCGAAAUUGAAAGGCGGCUUCGGCUGUCACUUAUGGAUGGACCCGCGUCGCACUAGCUAGUUGGUGAGGUAACGGCUCACCAAGGCAACGAGGCGUAGCCGACCUGAGAGGGUGAUCGGCCACACUGGGACUGAGACACGGCCCAGACUCCUACGGGAGGCAGCAGUAGGGAAUCUUCCGCAAUGGACGAAAGUCUGACGGAGCAACGCCGCGUGAGUGAUGAAGGCUUUCGGGUCGUAAAACUCUGUUGUUAGGGAAGAACAAGUGCUAGUUGAAUAAGCUGGCACCUUGACGGUACCUAACCAGGAAGCCACGGCUAACUACGUGCCAGCCGCCGCCGUAA
rnacentral:rRNA from 1 species